rnacentral:lncRNA from 1 species
CUCUCUCUUUUUGCAGACAAGGCCACCUACAUCCCAAGCCAGCUGGAGGAGCAGCUUCCAGUCUUCAGAGAUGGGCCCCUCUUCUUCAGUUGGCCUUGGAGCCAGAAACCAGAGGGAUCCCUAAGAGGACGAAGACAGCUGCAGAGCAAGUCCAGGUUACCCUGAAACUGAAGGUGUGAAGGUGCAAGCUCAGAGCCCAAACCCAAAGGCCACCAUACAGAUGGGGAACUGGUGGGACACCAGCAUUCCUGGGGCUCAGUGUGAGUGCAGGCAGCAUGGACAGGGGGUGACAACAUACAGUGAGGGUGGGGGCAGGCCAUGUCCUGGCUUCAUGAGACAGGCUAAUGUUGUUUGCAUGCCCAGCUAUUUACAAUCAGGAGACUGAACUGUGACUCUGCAGAGGCUUAUACCAGCUAUAUACAGGAGCCCUUUUUCUUGUAUGCUUUGCCCACUGUAGACACUCACGACUGUAGGGAUCCCAGGUAGGAAGGUAAUGAGGGAGACUAGGCUCCAUCUAGCAACCAUAUGUGCAGAAAUGACAAAGAAAACAGGACCUAGAGUUUGGAGAGAGGGUAGGUGGGGUUCUUCUGACUUCUCAGAGUACAGAGUCACAUGGUUUCCCAGAAAGCAAGGUUCACAGGACACAUGCAUAUGGACAUGAACACAAGAAGAGUCUCGAUCAUAAGGCUGGGCCUCCAGGAACCUGAGGAAAGCUGCCCAGCCAUGCCUCAUGGAGAGUGAAUGUUUAAAAAUCAGAAGGUCAUUCAAGACUGAGGACAUCUCCGGAACCAGGUUUUAAGGCUGUCCUCUUAGCGGGUGGGUUUUGUCCACUCUUCAGCUCCACCGCUGACAUUAUCAGACUUUUUCCUGUAGGCACCAGAGUCACGGGGCCUAUGACAAUGUUUCAGAUCUUGAAAAUACAUUAUGAGUCCAAAAUAUGAAACAAGAACUAUAAAAAUCCCAUUGAUACACAUUUUAUUAGUAUACCCAAAGUUCAUUAAUUUAAUAUUUGUGCUGGGUGUGGUGGCUUUACACCUGUAAUCUCGGUGCUUUGGGAGGCCAAGGUUGGAGGACUGCUUGAAGCCAGGAGUUUGAGACCUGCCUGGGCGACACAGGGAGACCCCACAUCUCUACAAAAAAUAAAGAUAAAAAUUAGCUGGGCGCAGUUGUG